rnacentral:lncRNA from 1 species
UUUUUUGGUGUUUUGUUUUCUUUUCAGAACAUUGUCAGUUAGGGGGUUUUGCAAUUUUGCAUCUACAAUCUUGCCAUUUUCCUAAUUAAGAAGCACUUGAAAACCAGGUAUUAAUCAUUUACGUAAACAGGUUUGUGUGCCAUUUCCAUCUGUAAAACAUGAGUUCAAAUUUUUAGGACACAGAUGGCAUAUGAGAAAAAACUAAAAGCCAACUAGACAGAAACAUAAAAAAUCUGGCUGUCUACCACCACACACACACACAAAUAAAAUAAAGAACUGAGGAAAUAGGCUCCUAGGAGUCAAUUUGUUCCUAAUAUUUCAUUAGCUUUUAGUGCCUAAAAGUCUUGAACACUGAAGAUGAUUCAGAAUAGGAUAGCCAGCCUUCUCAGAAUAUGUCUGGGGAAAUGCCUAGUGCUAGAAAAGGAGUGAUGCUUUAGAUCUUGGGAAAUCUGACUGGCUGACUGUGAAUAAUGUUGUAUGAAUGGCUCAAGCACUGUGUCAUUGACUUUAGUUCCUCUGGAAUAUAGUAAAAUUCCACUGGGGAAGAGCUUGCUUGCUUUUUAAAAGGGAGAGGAAUCUGUUCCGAAGGAAAAGGUUAAAAGGCUUCAGAACUGGAGUGUGACGAAAGGAAAACAAGAUGAGAAAGAGAGAAAACCAAGAAGAAAAUGUCUUCCGUUGUAUUUCUCUCUAAAUCAAAUAAAUUUCUAGCUGCCCUAAGUUAAACAAUUGGUAGAUGACAUUUCAUGCAGAUGAAUUGACAUUUUCCCAAUUAUAGUUGUAUAUAAAAUAUCCAACACACAGUCAGUAUUUUAACUAGUAUUUUUUUUUUAGCAAACUGCUCUGAGCUCAGCCACAAAGAUGUCAUAGAGAGAAGUCUGUGCUUUCUGAGUAACUAUGAAUUAGAGAGGCAGAUGUAUAACCUGGGAAGACUUCCAGAUUCAUCUUUCUUAAAAAUGGAUUUGUUCAGCAUUGGCUACACUGAUCAGGAUUAUUCUUUGUGCCACAAGACAUCAUCAGCAUGAUGAUAGUUCAGAAAUAAGCCCAGGCUCACUAACAGAUCGUGUGUGUGUUUGAUCCUGGCCUCAGCCAUAGGAACUGGUAAGUCUUAAGAGAAGGAGUGGCUGAUCUGGUGCCUUCAUGUUAUUUCUGUCUUGAUAUUGAGUGGCCGAAUACUCAGCUAGCAUAAAUUGGUGCAGCUCCAUUCAAUUUAAUGCUUAGCUAAUGAGCUACAUGGAAAAAAACCAAAAAAACCCCAAAACCAAAAAACAAACAAAAAAACCCAAAUCCCCCCCCCCCAAAAAAAAACCAAACCAAAAACCUCACAAAAAAACCCCCAAAAAACCAAACAAAGCAAAACAAACAAACAAACAAACAAAAAAACCACACCAAAAAAA